rnacentral:lncRNA from 1 species
CAUGACUGAAUAACCAAAAUAGUUAGGUCCUAUUUUAAAUAUAAAAUCCAAGGCUUGGAUGCAGUUUAUUUAUAAUCACGUAUUUCUUAAAGAAUGUUGAAUUUAUGGAGUACCAUACAUGCAUUCUCCCCCCCCCACACCACCCCCAUUACCUUCUAUCUCAAAAAAUAGUAUGGAAAGAUUCUUGAAGGAUUCAAAUUAGUUAAGACCAUAAAGGAGAAAAAGAAAUAACAUAAUUUUCCUAAAAAUCUGGUUCAAGUUCAAUAAUUAAUACUUUACAUUGUUAAUCACAGCUGGUUUAUAAAUCCCAGUUUAUUCUAUAAUGCUACAAACCUUAUAAAAUCAAAAUUAGUAAACUUCAGUUCUCAGUGAUUAUAUUUUAAUUAAAAAACAGCAUGU